AAAAAAAAAAAAGCUGUUUCCUUAUGUCCAACCUAAAUCUCCCGUCCUUUAGUUUGAAACCAUUUCGCCUUGUCCUAUCACAACAGACCCUGCUAAGGAGUCUAUCCCUUUCUUUCUUCAACUGGGACAGAUCUCACACAAAAUGUGUCAGAGUCCAUGACAAUUUUUUGAACUUGGUUAUGUUUUUUAAGAAUAGGACAAAAUCAAUUCUAGGUCAAGCUCAAGGCCUAUUAAGUUUGCUAAUGUCUCUGAUAGUUGCUUAGUUGAAGCAUGUAGGAACCAAAGCUAACAUGUGACCUUGCCUUGUUAAUCAGGCACAGAUUUUUGCUAGUUGCCAAAGGAUUCCUUAAUCAGCAACCUGUUGGCUAAUUGGAGAUUCCUCAGGUGUUUUUUAUUCCUCACCUGCUAUGAAUUUGUACUAUUUAAAGACUUAAGGGUGAUGGGACAGAGAAGAGAGAAUUCAAAUGUUCUCUGUUUCAGUUGAAACAUGGAAACAGUGAUCAUUUUCACUAGCAUGUGUAAGUAUGAAAAAGUUUUAAAAGCUGCAAAUAGGGCAGCCAGUGUAACUUCGGUAACUGGGCAGAAGCUGCAGGCAAAAGAAGAAAUACCCUCUUGGAUUUCAAGGGAUUAUGUGAGUAGAGUACGCAAGGCUUGCUUUCUUGACCUCUCUAUGUUGCACUGGUGGGGACUAUUGAUUAGUAAACUCUGAAAUAUAAGGUGAAGGUAUCUUACAUCUUGUUUAAGCCUGUCUGUGUACCACGAGCAGUAGCAUCUGUACGUAGUGUUACCAUGACUUCUGCUAUUGCUUAAUGUUCUUUUAGUCAGAUGAAGUCAUUUCAGUUUUCCAUCUGUCUUGGCUUUUUAUUGAAAAGGAAAUAAAUAUAGGUGUCUGCAUGUGCUCUUUAUGUAGGCGUGUUGAUGACUUUUGCUUUCCCUAGAGUUUUCUUUAAAUAGCAGGCCUUCCGCCCGAGGGGAGAUCAAAUGGUUUGGACUUAAUCUGCAGUCUUUUAAAUGUUUGGAGACAUCUAUUAUAUGAGUAGAAGUAUUUUUCAGUGGGGGAGGGAAGAGAUUUGGUUUCAGUUUCAGCUCUAAGCACCACAUAGGAUGCUGUUUCCAAAUGACAUUGAUAACCUAGAGGAAAUAGCCAAAAUUAUGGAUGGAAAAUUUAAUGAAGACAAACUAUUAGAAUUUAAAAAUACAGCCUGGGAGAAUAAGUGGUAUUAGAGGACAAAUCUUAGAGGGCUUAGGUAUCUGAAAGGUUAAAUGAAAAGUACCUUUCUGUAACUUGCUUUGGAAUUCUAGUUUUGGAAUGGCAUUCCAGUGUUGGGCCCCACAUUUUAAAAUAAACAGUCUGGGGGAGGCAUUUGUUACAGGACGGUAACAGAGGUCAUAAGAGAUUUGGAAACUGAGUUGGGAAGAAUUUCGAGGAGGUGAUUUGUUCAGGCAAACAAGAAAUGGGCAGAUGUAUUUGCUGUUUAAAAAGCUAUGAGUGAUUUGAGAAGGAUGAUCCGUUUAUGCUGUGUAAUCUCUUUGUGCUGAUCGUAGGAGAAAUCAUAGCUUGGAUUUCGUCAGGAAGAGUUUCUAGCAGUGAGGAGCUGCUGCUGACUCUGAGCAUGGAGUAUGGGAGGUCACAGAUUCCCUUUGCUUGAGGCCCUCUUAGGAAACGGUUUGUCGGUCACCUGCUCCAGCUUUGUCUGGAUGUUUGUGAACCUGCCCCUGAUGGAGAUGCAUCCGCUGGUCCCUGAGAUCCCAUCCCGCCCACCUCUCUCUGAUUUCACUGGAGAGAAUUCCCAUGGCUGUAACAAACUCAGCUUUUGUUGUUAGAGCGUGUGCUGUUGGAUCUAGCUAAUGGCUUACAAAUGCUUACAGUAAAGAAGAUUUUUACAAGAAGGGAUAUUGAAAAAUAUCCACCCUCAGCCUCCUUCAGUCAAGCAGGAAUGUGAAAUGUAGUUGCAUGUGCUAUGUCUCUGAUAAUCAGCCUAACUUUCCCCAGGUGCCCCCAUCACCUCCUCAUUGCAGACGCAGUUUUUCCCACUUGGUUCCCUUUAAUCUUGUUUCUACAUAUCUCGCCCUCUUUGGACAAGAGGAAUAAUGUACUGCCCUUCUAUCAGUCUGUUUUUGCUCAUUGGUAAGACAAGCACAGAAGACAGAUCCUUCUUGUGGUGAGAAGGCUUAAUUUGGGCACUCUGCUCUACUUGUGACCAGUUGUCACAAAAUGCAUGAGAUGUUCUUUGACGUGUUAGCUCUUCUGUCAAACUUGCUUUGGUGAGUGAGUUUAAAGAUUACCGGGGGACAAUGUAUGGUGUGGUUGUUAGAAUGAAGCAGCUAGAAAAUGUUAUAACAAGUAAAGCUGCGCUGUUGGGAGUUGUAUUAAUUAAAAUUGGUAUGGUGAUUCACUGUAUCCAAGGUGACUGAGGAUUAAAAGCUUUUUGAUGAGAAUUGAGCACUUAGACUGCAGGUGGCAGAAGAGGUGACGGUUCAAAGACACUGGUGUGCUCAGCAUCAUUAGUCUGUUCGUAGAAAGCAAGAGAAUGCGUUUCUGAACUGUGUACUGGGCUUUCUUGCAUCAUCCAGGGUUACCGUUGCUUAUUUUGAAAGAUAAAAUUUAUCAUGGAGUAUUUAAAUAACAGAGCUGGUAAUGGGAAAUCUGUUGCAAGGCCAGGAAUAAAUACCAAAUCUUCAGGCUUCGUUAAUCACAAGCCUCACAUCUCAUGCUAUUCUUAAGUCUUUUUCUGUGUUCAUAGAACUACUGUUUUCACAGCAUAAAAUGAGAGAAAAUGUUCAGCCUCAAGGCUAAGAUGGCACUCUGCAUGUACUAGGUGCAUAGUGAUGGGUGCAGCUGGGGGGGACCACCUGUAGUUAUCACCUGGAAAGCUAAUCAGAACAAUUUCAUGCCUGCAUAUAAAAUGGAGUCACAAGGAGCAAUAAGCAUGUAUGUUUUUAAAAAGUGUCUUAGUGGACUAAAAUUUUUGUCAUUCUGUAAGAAAAUCCAUCAUGGUGUUACCUGUAUUUUAUAUACAUUUGUUUUCCAAAGGUAGCAGAAUGUUUUUUUUUGCCAAGCAUUACCCAUGUUAUUUACUAAAUAAAUCUAAGCAUCUGUUCAGUUUUCUAUUUCUAUCUAUUUAUGUAGCUUAUUUGCAAUUAUUUUCAUAUCCACUCCUACACUUUUCCACAGCAAUUUUUUGUUGAACUUCAGACUGUAAGUUGAAGACGAUUGUAGCUUGUAACAGCCUUGGUCAACUUUUUUGCAUUAGGCCAGUGGAGCAGGUGUUGUCUUUGUUCUGCAAGGAUACUUUCAUGGCCCUCAUCACUGCAUUAUUUGAGUGCCUCCCAAGUACUUCACAGAAAACAUCCUGUUGGAAUAGGAACAUAUGACUAUCCUUAUUUUACAGAUGAUCAGCUGAGAUAUUUGGUGAUCUGCCCAUAGCUGAGCUCAAAAUUCAUGGGAGAGUUCGGAAUAAAACCUGGAGUUCCUGCUCAUGGCUCUCACUAACAGACAAUGCUGCCUUCUUUCUUUGCACAGCUGUGAACUUCAGGUGUAGAUGAUGAUGAUGUUUCCAGUCAGUUGGUUUACAGUUUUGCUGCUGCCUAUUCUUGUUUCUAACUUGUCUUUACAUUGUUUUAAAACUGCAGAAGUAUCCUGCAGCCUCUCAACUUCUAACUUUGUUUCCUAUCUUACAAAAAAAGGAGAGCGAUCGCUGCUCUGCUACCUCAUUUAUAAAUAUUGAGUAGAAACAAUUUGAGGCUGACCCAUGUGCUAGAAGUUUAGUAAAUAUAACACAGCUACAAGAUCAUAGUACCCAAGGCGCUACUGUAUCUGUACAAAAAAAAACCCAAAAAAAAACAAAAAACAGCCAGGAUGACCAUCCAGAGCAACCUUUAUUUGACAGCUCCUGUUAUCACUGCUGUCAGACCUGGCACUCACUUUAGGAAUGCUUAGUUUUUCCUUAGCGUCGUCUCUCUUUGUACUGCUUGUGUUUUGCUCUUUGAGAUAAAAAUGGAUGCCCUGCCUUCUCAGAGCUGGUGAGUGCCUGCAGCAGCAUACUAAAUUUUGAAAACUAUAUCCAAUUGUCCUGCAUCAUCUUACAAAGGACCGUCAGCCUAUAAGAGGAUGGAAAUUGAUAUAAAAAUAGAGCACAUUUUUAACACUGAAGUCUAUAGUAUAGUAAGGGUGAGUGUCUGUAACAUGAAAUACAAUCUCUAAUGCGACUGCGGGUUGCUAAGCUGGAUGCAGAAAUUAGAGUCAAAUAGUGAGGGUUGUGUUACGUAGGCUGUCGGGUCGGGUAAGCAUAUAAACCCAUUCUGGUCUUAAAGUUAGGGCUGUUGUGCAGGAGUCUGGCUAAAAUCAGAGUGAGUUCUGCUUGCAUCUGGAACAGAAUUAUAGCUUCUUGUGUGAUGCAGAACUGUAACACUAUAGCGUUGAACUGAGUGGUGGUAGUACAACAAUGGUCUCAUACAAUGAGCAUCUUACUGAGGUGAGCUGGGAAGCCAGUCUAACCUGUAUGAUUUUAGAUGUUAUGUUUCCUUCUUGUGUUUAGGAAUGAAUUGCUUCCACACGCGGUGAACUGAGCUGUUGCCAGUACUCUUAUGAAGUAAUGAUCUUAGAAAGUAAAGCUUAGCUCUUUAAUGUGGCUUGCCUUACCUAUUUAAUACCAGUGAGAAAAAUCUUACAUUUCACCUAAACUACGAGUGUUUAGUUUCCAGCAUCCUGGAUAAUUGGUAGCUUGUCUGAAAAGACUUGAACAAUUACUCGCUAUAGAAAAAUGACUCUAAAGAACUUCUCUGUGGAAACCAAAGGUAAAGGUGUUGAAUCUGGACAAUAAAACUUAGAUCAAAGUAGCCAGUGGGAAGGGCUGUGAGAGGAGCAGAUUGUCCUUUAAGCUUCACCAUGUUGUGCAGGGUGUUACCUCUCUCUUCCUCUAAUCAAAUUUCAUGAAGAAAGUAAAGCUAUUCUUCCCUGUUGUAAUUCAAUCAGAGCCCUCCGCUAGAUCACCAGGAAAGCACCUGCCCUUCUUGCUUCAGAUUUGGUAGAUAGAACCCAGUUUUUUUUUUUUUAUAGCAGUUAGUUAAUCCAUAACCAAAGCGUGAGCCUACAGCGGCACCUGCCAUGCAGGUGAGCUUUCAGUCUUGUUAAUGUAUAAAUAUAUAUAGAUUUUUGUAUUAAACUCGCACACUUGCAUGCUCAAUAGUGAUCAUCAUAAGUAGAAUUUAAUAAAAUGAGGUCAUAAAUGCCUAAUGUGCUUUUUGUUGGGCAAUAAAAUUGCCCACGUGUUGCAAUUGAGGUCUGAAGUGAACUUGCUUGCUGGGGCCUCUUUAGGGUACAUACAAAGACCAACUGAGCACAUGAAAAAUGUUUUUCAUGCUGUUUUUUUUUUUUCUCCCUUUUGGUCCACUGGCCUUUCCUCAACUGUCUUGGGUUGGUGCCCGUUGUAAUAUUUACUGCCAUCAAACUCUGCUUUGGAAUUAGGCACGCAUUUGAAACAUCUGCAGUUCUGAGGCCCUCCACUGUGACUAUUAAGCUUUUGUCUCUGGCAUUUUCCAAAGUCCUUGAUUCUCUUCUGGUCUCCUGAGUGAUCCUGAUACAGUCCUCUAGAGUUCUGUAAAGCAGGCUCCUGUACUUUCUAAUAUUACAAAUAUUGGAAAGUGAAGCGUGGGUUGAAGGCCUAACUUCACGUGUAAUGUUUUCCAAAACUGACUGAUGUUUAGGUAGCUACUGAAAUUUGUGUGUGGAGGACCUUAUAUUCAGUUCUCCCCAAAGAUUCACGCAUGUGAUGUCUUAAUUUGUGUAGGGGCGGGAUGUUACCUGGCUUAGCACAAGGCACUCAUGAACAGACGUUCAGGGAGGAUGCAUCUGAUUUGCUGAAAAAAAGGGUUAAGUUAAAUCCCAUGUAGAUAGGAUGAUGUUUCAGGUAAGUAAAAGCGUACGGAGGAAUCGCACUGAGACAAAGGGAUUUUUUUUUUUUUAAGGAGGAAUUAAAUGAGCUUUGUCCUAGCUAUGCUGUGUUGCACAACUAUGUUUUCUGUGGCCACCAGCAGGUCGGUGUGCUAAAAGACCAGCUGAUGUUUUACAGAACAAACUCUUGAUGGAAUGUUUGCAAGGACCACCCCAUACAUGAGACUGUCAAGUGGUGUUAUGGUGUCUCAUGGCCUUUACUGAUACUGCAUUUUGAUGACCAUUGGUGAUGGCUCCGCAAUUUCAUUGUAGGACUGUGAUGAAUACAUUCCUGUAGAAGGGAUGCUUUGAAUGUUAUUAGAUCUUGUUCCCUGUCUUGCACCUUGUGAUGCUAUUCACACUCAAGAGUAUGUAAAACGCUGCCAUUUGAGUUUGGAAGUACCUUACUUCAGAGGAGGGCUUACAGUGGUUAAUUGGACUGGAGCCCUCUGAUUAACACAGUGUGCUUUGAAUCAUAGAAUCAUAGAGGUCUUUUCCAACCUUGGACUAGAUGAUCUUUGAGUCACCACCUGUCCACGUACCACCAGUAUUGCCCACAAUAUUGAAAAAUAUGCAAUACUGAACAAUGUUGAGAUAUGAGAUGCCUUUCAUUGUACAAGGUUAUAGUCACAAUGCAGUGUUUCUGUAAGUAUGUAACUGGUUAAUUGCAUCUUAGUGGGUUAACUGUAACUUAAAAAUGAGUACUCCUGUGGAAGAUUGUGGUAGGUCAGACUCAGUGCUCUAGAAAUGCUCUCAGGAUACAUUCUAAAAAUCAAUACAAAUGCUGUUUGUUAAGAUACAAAUAAAUAAUAUGAAAUGUAGACUCAUUUGAGCUCAUUUAAAAUAUAAUGCUGUUUAUUUGUGAGGAUGCCAUGUUACAGAAGGCCAUAUAAGACAAUAAACAUCGAAGUUACUUCAUUCUUUUGAAAAGGAAUGCAAACUAACAAAAGCUUGUGAAAAUGAAUCUGUACUUGUCAACCUCAAUUCUGAGGUUCAGUUUUCCGUGGUGCUUUGCUCAUAUGAACAUUAAAAAUGAACAAGAAUUAAGCUCACUGUAUUCUUUCAGCUCUUGUUUCUGUUUCAGGUUGCGACUGAGAGUGUAGGAAUAAAUAAAAAAUGAUCAGUGUUAUCUGCUGAUAUCACUUAAGGAAAUUUGCAGAAUCAUAGAAUAGCCUGGGUUGGAAGGGACCUAUGUAGGUCAUGGAGUCCGCCUUGACUGAUGUAUAGGACUCGUCUCCAGAGUUUCCCAGUCACGAACUAGUGCUUUGUGGGAGGUCAGGAGUCUUCAGGUGCUAUAGUCUCCCUUUAAGACACCUGCUUGCAGAGGCGAGUAAUUCUCGAGUAGCCAGCUGCUGGUGUGAAUGGAACAUGACAAGAUUUAGUUCUAUGUUAAUUCUCUACUUGUGGCUUUUGCCAGCAGGGGGAGUUGAAGACCCCAUCUUAGACUUGGUCUGUGCAGGUUGGGCUGGAGGAUCAGCACUUUUGGAUGGUCUCAGUGUAACAUUCUCAGCAUAGUUAAUUGCUGGGGCCUGCAUCAAGGGUUUGGAAUACAAUAAGGAGUUUCUUGCUCAUUUUUUAAUGGAAAAAUGCAGGAAGAUAUGUUUUGAGGCAAUGAAUUAUCAGUACUAAACAUCUAUUUGUACCAAAACAUACAUAAUAAAUAAGAAAGUGAAACUUCUUACCACAUGGAAAAAUCCAGUGUCACGUCUCAAUAAAAUAUAGGAAAAUUGCAUAGACUGCAAAUGAGUCUCAAAACAAUCUCCAAUAUCUGAGAAACUCAGAGCAGCACUGGACACAAUUUUCUGAAAAUCUUCCCUAAAUUUUAACACAGUGAUCAAUUUUUCAGGUAGAUGGUUCUAGGGAAAGAAUCUUUAGGUUUGUAGGGUGUAUCCUGCGACUUCUUGUGUUCUGAUGACAGGAACAUCCUGCUAUCUCUCGUGCGCCAAAGUCAGAAAAUUGAUAUGUGUGGAAAUAAAUCAAGGACUGUUGGACUUCCUUUAAACCUGUAGCAUGGUUCCUCUGUUUUUUUGUCAAUAAGCCCACAGUUAAGCGUUUAUCUAUUGAACAGUCAGGGUCUUUUAUAGCAUCUGAAGGUGAUAACUGAAAAUAUAAUCAACAUUUUAAAGUAUUGUAUAAAUUGGUCUUGUAAAUUUUAAAUUCUCCUUAAUUGAGCAGAUACCCAUGUUACUGCCCUAGCGGUGAGGACAAAUCCUUCAGAACUGAGUAGCUUGUUCUUGUUUGUAAAUAUGUAUUGACAACAACUUCUUUGCUAGUUUAUUGAAUUUCUUUAAACUAGCAUUCUGCAACUGUAUGUUUUCCUUUGGAGAAAAUCCGGAGUGCUUGAACCUUUGAAGGCUUCUCUUAAAAAUAAUUGUGGGUGGGACGGAUCUUCAAGAUACAAGUAAUAGUGUUUCCCUUUCUCCCUUAAACCUGAUGGGCUACAACUUGUGUUUAUAUACUGUUGCAAACUUAAUUUAGAUGUAGUAGUAAGGUCUAAAACAAGUUGUGCUUUGUAAAGAAAUCAAAGAAAGAAACUGAACGGUGCCUGAGUGGAAACAGUGAGGGAAUCAGCGUGUCUGGCAUUGACAUAAUACUGCGAAAUCAAUGCUUUGAUCAACUGUAAAGCAUAACAGCUGUGUGAAAGGUUUGCUGUGGUUAGCUGGCAUUAUCUCUUGUCCAAAGCCAAGUACAUUGUAAACCAGUAAAAAUUAACUGCCGGAGCACAAUGAUGUUUUUGUGACUGGGAAUUCAGAUAAAAUUAUGCUUCUGUUGGCAGAAUGAUAAAAAGAGCUGGGUCCAUUUGCAUACAGGUGAAGAGGGGCGGCGAUGUCCCAUGUUGUGCAGAGUCCAGGGCACCACAGGUAUGCAAAGCAUUCAGCUGUAAGGGCUGGCUUUAAUUAAGCUUUAUUUUCACCUGGUUAGUUAUGGAGUGGGAGGAAAUGAGCAGUACCGUGCUGAGUCAUUGGGUGGCAGCAGAGCAUUUACCACUUCCCAAGGCAUCCCAACAGAAGGAACGACUGCAGUUCUGCUUGAUUUUGAUGUAGGUGUCUGAAAGCAAGGCUUGCACUCUGAAACAAUAUCUCAGCAUGAUAUCUAUGGUGAGAGUCCUCUCUCUUCGAGACAGAUUUCCCUCCAAAAGUUUUAACAUGAGUGUAUGUAUGUAUGAUGUAUACAGAUGUAUAUGCACACGCAAAAACUGUAUCUCUGUGGCCUCUGCCCAUUUCAGCUCUGUGACAGUGAGGAGCUUUAAUGUGGCCGCUACCAUUGCCAGUUCCCAAAUUAGAUCCCAUAUCCCUGGCAGUUCAAGCUUCUUCUGAAGAUGUGCAGUGUGGUGGUCUUGUGGAUGAAGCCAUGUCCAAGUUCUAAAUUAUUUUUCUGCUGGAAGUGGUCCUGUGAAUGUGGCCAGCAUUAGCUAGUUAGCGAAAACUGCCCAUGUUUUUGUUAGUCAUGGCUCUUUGUAAGAAAAGCGUAAGAGGCAGGACAGUUGGUGUUUAUCAUUAGUGUUUCACAGUGGCUGUGAGCAACCUGGUCUCCUGGGAGGUGUCCCUGCCUAUAGCAGUGGAGUCAGAACCAGGUGAUCUUGAAGGUCCCUUCCAUCCCAAACCUUUUUAUUAAUUCAAGGAAGGAGUUAAUCUCUCUGUACUUAUUCUGCAAUUUAAACAUUGAGGGUUUUUUUUAAUUUGAAAGUUGCGGGCAGUGCUUGUAGGACUUUGAAAAUGCUGUCCUCUUUUGGAACUAAGUAUAUUAUUUGUGUAUUGUUUCAAUUAAGAGAUCAAUAACUCAUUUCCAUUUGUUUCAUGUUGAUUCUGCACACCUCACAAUGUAGUUCAUGCAAAGUAAUGUGCUGUGGCCUCGAGGAGAAUGAAUAAAGUGAAUUUACUUUCUCCCUGCCAUUUUCUCUUACUAGCUGAAGUAAUCCUCUUUUUAACUGGUGGAUCCACAAAACCCUGGCCUUUGAAUUUGCCUAUACAUGGGGCAAGAGUCCCCUCAUGCAGAGUUUUAUUAUUUAUUUCCAUGCUUUGUGGUUAACUUUAGCAGAAUGUUGAGAUGCAGAGUGGAAAUAAUAGGAAUUACAGUACUGAGGGCAAAGUGUGCAAACGCAUGGUAUCUCUUUGCCACUUGUGUGUGUGUGCUAGGAAUGUGGUCAUCAGUGAGAACCUGUUGGUAGAAACAAUACAGAGAUUUUUAUCUGUAGAGAUUUAGUUUGAAUACAUGUUGGGAUUGUGUCAGCCUAUGAUCAUUAAGAGAACUGGCGGUAGGAAAUGAAAGUGACUGAUGAGAAUUCUGUCAGUUUUUGUCUGCAGUACACGUAGCAGGUAUUUUCCAUUUUCUUUUGUACAAAGAAAAGGAGAGAUGCUGGCAGAAGGUAUAAGACUUUUUGAAAUCUGUUAUAAAUGUUACAGCGCUGAUGUUUCAUGUCCUUUGAAGACUCUGCGUUGCUUCUUUUUGAGGAAUCAGCUCUCUAAAUUUCAACUUCGCAGCCCUCCAGUUAAUUAAUGCUGUUUUUUUAACAAAUUGCCUCUGGCUUUCAUUUUCUCCCCAUUCAGGGAUUUAUCAACCUGACUGCAGAAAAAACACAGUGCCUAUUGCCCUGUGCCUAUUUUACAUGCUGACAAUAGGAAACCUCUUUUUUUCCCCACAAAUUUGCGAUGACGUUCUCAUCUUCUCUAGGGGUUACUUCAAGAGGAUAACUGCUAUUUCCUCCCAGUUCAAGCUUCCCUGUGUCAGGGAUAUUUGAUCAUUUCCAGUAGAUGGAAAAAUGCAGUUUGCAGGCUGAGAGCUGCACGUGUAGCCCUGCAGGCUGUUGUGAGGGAUGCUAUGUUAUGGCAAAUUUCUAGGAGAUGAAACCAUCAUGUUUAACAGAAUAGCAUGAGGAUCUCUAAGGCAAGCUCUUCCUGGUGUCCGAAGUUCCUACAGCUUUAGUGGCUGCAACAAAAGGUCAGAUCUGCUAGUGGCUCUGGGAGGAAUUCCUGGAGGUUCCCUUGCAUCUGCCUUGGAUUCAACUGAAUUGAAUCCAAAUCCCACAGGUUUCAAAGAAUAAUGCUGGAUUCAGUGACUUGCUUGCUUUCACAAAAGAUCAGUUUAGCUAGAAAGCCUUGGGCUGUAAUUAGGAAAGUCUUUAUGCAAUUCUUUGAGCAAGGAGGAAAGAGGUUACUGUCAUUUUGAAGAAUGCCAACCUAAUGCAUCAAAGUAGUCAUGCAUUUUGGGGGUACUUUGAGGUUGGACAUUAGGAAAAUUUUCUUCUUGGAAAGAGUGGUGAUGCACUGGCAUAGGCUGCCCAGGGUGGUGGUGGAGUCACAAUGCCUGAAGGUGUUCCACAGCUGUGGGGGUGUGGUAUGAACUAACAUGGUCAGUGGGCAUGGUGGCAUGGGUUGGUGGUCAGACUGGGUGAUGUUGGAAGUCUUUUCUGACCUUAAUGAUUCUAAGAAGUGCAGUUAUUUCAAAUGCGGAAGUGACAUCUCUGUUUUGGCAGCAGAGCAAGAUACUUGUGACCAUUUGAGCACCAUUGGCAUCUGGUGGUUUUAGGUGCCUUGGUGUUCCAGUAUGUGCACUGCUCUCCUGGUGGGAAUGAUUUCCCAGGAAAACUGAAAUGUAAAAAUAGUAGAGUAGUUCACUUGUAAUCUACACUAAACAGGAGCUAUAGUGCUGGCAAGUGGUGGUACAGAUACCUCAGCUACUUACCUCGUGCACGCAAUAAUCCGUAUGGUUGCAUUAAUACUGUGAAUUCUGCUGUAAUACCAUCUAGAAUAUUUCAGAUAAAUUCUGAUUGUAGAAGCUUUCAGAAGUGCCUACACAGCUCUUUCUUCAGCAUGUUGAAUGUUCUUGUUCAAGUCCUGAAGCAUUACCCUCAUUUAGUGGUAAAUUAGGUUCUUGAGAUGGGCCAAUGACAAAUCAGGUUUUUAUGCCUCUUUUCCAGUGUACCGCAGACCUUUGGAAUUUCAUGUGGUCUUCUAUAAAAGGAAAUUAAUGAUUAUGUAUUAUUCAUAAAAUAAUGUUUCCAUCAUUUUGUCCGUUUCCUCUCCAUAAAUUCACCAGCAGAGGGCUGAAGGAUUUACCACCUACUUAAUUUAGUUUAGAUUCAUGAAUACACUGCUUAAACUUCCCUCUUGAAAGAAAAUGUUCCUGCCAGGUUGGAGCAUAGAUCUGAAAUACUCUGUGCUGUCUGAGUACAUGACAUAUGCUGCAUAGCGUACUGAGCUGGGAGGUACACCCUCUCCAUGGCUUAGUAAUGUUCACGGCAAAAACUUCACUUUCCAAGCAUUUUGAAGCAUUAUUGUUUUAUUUCAGAGCUGCUGAGUGAAUGCCUUUCUGGAAUGUGCAGUUUUAAGCUAUUUAGAUCUUCCUCGACUGCAUGAGGGAGAUUAUUAAAUAAGGUGGCUGUCAUGGUCAGUCUCAAUCUGAAACUGAUGCAUCUUUCUACAGCAGCCUGGGCUGAGAGCUUAGUGCGUGCUCAGAAAAGUGCUUCCGCUCUUCUUUUAGCACGCCCUACUGAGCUGGGUUAAAAGCAGGACUUCACGUUCAGAGAACGUAGCCAAAGGUGGAAACCUGAUCUUCAUGGGAAAGAAAACAGAUCAUUUUGGCAUUUUGGAAUGGGCUAGAUCCUGCAAUAACCCGACACAUUUUUUCCUAAAUAGAAGACCGGGAAUCUUAGUUCCUUCUUUCUUAAAAGUGGUAGAAAUUCAUUCACUGCUUUGCAGAAUUUGUGGUUAAGUCGCUUUUGAGCUUUUCUGCAGGAAAAUGGAGGUAUUUCUUGAUUCUUAGUCCACUGAAGAGUCUGAAUGAUUUCCACUGGUUUUGGUGGCCUUUGGUCAGACAUGUGGUGUAUUAUGAAAAUAGCAGAGAAUGUCACUGUGGUUUUUUUGACCCUAAAAGCAGAUUGGCAACAUACCUAGAACCGAACUUUUCAUAUUUUCCAAGUGCUUUGCUGUUAAGAAAAUUAUGUAAAACGUUGCUAUAAAACUUUCAGUUAAUAAUAUUUAGAUGAACAUGCUCAGAGACCAUUUUGAUGGCUUUCAGAGUGUCUUCCUGAGUCUUUUGGAUUCUUCUUUAACCAAAAGUGAUCUUUUAGGACCUUUUUUGCCAAUGGAACGUUUUCCUAAUUGUAUCCAGGCGUCCCAAUGUAGAGAAAGAGUGAUUGUGAGCAGGAAUAAAUCACUGCUAAGUACUCUGAAAAGAUAAAUGAGCAAGACUUGAAUAAAAACAAACUCACCACCAUGACUUACUAUUUCUGAGGUGCCUAGAAUAAAAGCCUAAUUGGACUUCACAUUUGCUUUGUUUGAAAUGUAUGUUUUUGAAAAGAAUUAGCGACUUAGAUUCCAUCACAUUUUGCAUAUUUCUUAUGUGCUUUCUAGGAGUUUCUUUUGUAAAGAUGGAAGUAUGGCUGAUAUCACUCUGGAAAGUAUUUAAAAAGAAACUGCUUUUGCCCUAGAUAUCUCUACUUUUUAUGGUAGUGACUGGAGCAUGCUUAAGAGCCAAGAUGUGUUGUCCCAAAGAAUCUGUCAUAUAAAAAGAUGGUGUGAAGAAAGGAGUACAGAGAAAUUAUCAUCUUAUUGUUGUUAUUGUAUUAUGGUUAUUUUAUUUUUUGAGAUAUAGUAUCUUCUAGGGGAAGCUAGAAGGGGAAGGCACUGAGUAAUCUCUGGGCAUCUUUCUGGGCAUCUGGUCGUCUUUCCAUUGAGAAGUGUAUGGUAUGUUUGAAUAAUUACGCAUAUGUAUGUAUGAACAUGUAUGUUACUAGCAGACUUCUGUUCAUGUGUGCUUUGCUAGUAGUUGCUUGGUGAGCAUACCUGCAUGAAUAUUUAGCAACAUUCUGAUUGCUAUACUAGGUUGUUGUUUUUGCCCUGGUAAAGGCAUGGAGGGGUAUCUGAGAAGCAUGCUUUCUUGAAACUGGUUUCCUGUAGCAUACAGUGCCUCUUUGGUGCUUGUGUGCAAGGUGGGAGGCUGCCCCAGUGGUAGCUAUUGCAAUGCUCCAGCAUGGUCAGUGGUGGAAGAUCUUAUCGUUUGAGGCAAUGUCCUGACAUGGUGUAAGACUAUGGAACGUUCUAUGGCCAUGUGUUGACACAAAAUUAUAAAGCUACCUCAGUUUUUGUAUGUUGUUGAGUUCAGCCACAGCAUCAGUUUUUGAGAUACGUGUGGCUUCUCCCUGGGAGGGUAAUGUCUCUGUCUUCACAGACACAUCAUUUCCUGGUCAAGGUUCUCUAUUCAGAAGUGAAGUUAGGAUGUAAGUAUUCAUGUUUACAAUAUCUCAAAAGUGCUAGAGUCUGACCUUCUCAAAGCUUUGCUUAAUCUCUUCAACCCUUGAUAGGGGAAAAAGAAACAGGUGAGUUGGGAACUUGCUCGAGUUUCAAAAACUAAAGCACACAUGAGCCUCUUCUCCAGUAACUAUCUCUUUUAAAGUGCUCAGUGGUGGAAUGAAAUGCUGGAUUUUUCUCUGCAGAUUGGAGAUGACUCUGGAGUGUUUUUCUUUUCAUUUAACCAAGAAAGCUAAUUAUCAUUAAUAAUGCUACCUCUACUGUUUCACUGUAAUCUUAUUUUAAGGAAGUGUUUGAAUAUUAAGCGUUUUUCCCACAUCAGUGAAACAAUGUACUGUUCUCUGCCAAAAAUCACAUUCGCAUAUCAUCCUCGUUCCUGUAGCUGCAGGGUGAAAUUUGGAAUUUUUCCAGUAGCCCAGCUGCCAAUUUACCAUCAUUGAUCAUUAUCAGGAGUCACUUGAGUUGUCUGAUGUAUAGCAAAGUAUGUUUUUGGCUGCGUGUGAUGUAUGAGCUGUUUUUGGUCUUGGGGACCUGCUUGUACUGGUUUAUGGAAGGCUGUUCUUCAGAACUGAUUGUGGUUUCCUGAGAGAUAGCCCCUAUGUUAUAAUGAAGUAGUAGUGCACUGUUGAAGUGUUACACGUGUGAUAGGGAAGUGAGCUUAGAAGCACAGAAUCAAAGGUGUUGGAAGGGACCCCAAGAGAUCAUAAGUCCAACCCUCCUGCCAAAGUAGGUUCCCUACAGCAGAUCACACACGUAGGCAUCCCGAUGUGUCUUGAAUAUCUCUGUAGAAGGAGACUCCACAACCUCUCUGGGCAACCUGUUCCAAUGCUCCAUCACCCUUACCAUGAAGAAAUUCUUCUGUAUGUCAGUACAGAACUUCCUGUGUUCAAGUUUUAGGCCAUUACUCCUUGUCCUUUUGCUACCUACCACUGAGAAGAGCCUGGCCUCAUUCAUUUGCCUCUCACCUCCUAUUAGAUAUUUAUAAAUGUUAAUUAGAUCGCCUCCUCAGUCUUCAUUUCCCCAGGCUGAACAGACCCAGGUUACUCAGCCUUUCCUCGUAAAGGAGGUGCUCUAGGCCCUUUUAUCGUCUUUGUGGCCCUCUGCUGGACCUGAUCUGAUUAUUUGGCAUUCAGUGGAAGCUCAGCUAUUGAAAUCGAUGAGAGGGGACACAUACCCAGUGCUCUUUUGACUUAAUGUUCAACUCUUAGCGUCCUCAGAGCUGAAUUUUCUGUUAAGAAAGGUAUCGCGAGAUUGAGAGUUGCAUGAGUUUACUAUAAUCCUUGGAGUUAGUGGGGAAAAAAUUAAACUCUAUAUGAGGCUCUUACUUCUGUUGGGGGGGCGGGGGUAUUUUUGUGAAAUGAAGGUACCUCAUAAUAUUUGGUCCCUUAGUUUACUAGUUUAGAGAUGGCUGCAAGAACUUGCUACACUGUGAUUAUGCACAAGAUGCUGCAAAUGCUCUGGGUGCUGAUAUGAAUUUAUUUCUGAGACCCAGAUUUAAUCACUAGUGAGAUUUUCCUGUAGCAGUCAAGCACUUAGACUCGGCCUCACAUUUUGGAUUAAUGCCUUGGUUAAGCAGUCCAGCUAGUCAGCUAAGAUAUAAAAAGCAGAAGGAAUUAGAAAAUCCCAAUUUGAUUGAUCUUAGUAUUUUAUGAUCCUUUUAAUUUGAUUUAGUGAUUCUUGUUUCAUUUUGAGUUCAUUUUUCAGUUCUGCAUUGUUAGGAUUACAUAUGCCAUGUAAGAAUUUGUUUAAAGAUCACUUUUAUUGGGAGUAAAAUAGAAGCUGGAAAUCUUCCUGUUAUUCUAAGGCAUUAUAACAGCUUGUUUGUACGAAGUCUAAAUUUGGAGCCAAAUUUGACUUGCCCUUUAAAGCAGUAAUAACCUUAGAACCUUGCUAAUAAGUGCUGGAAGGUUUGUCAGUGCUCAAAUGAGUCUGAAGAUAUUUUAAUUAUUUGCCAUACUUAGUCUUUAUACUGGUGGGGUUCAAACUGCAACAUAUGGGUCUGCAUCUUACUGCCCUGAAUAGCUGAUCAUAUAUUACUCGGUGUUUGACAGCUGUCCUUAUUGUUCAUAGCCACCCAUACUUUCUCAACACUUUCAUAAUCUAUUAAUCAUUUAUUAACCCUUUAUAAACCAUUUAUAAAUGUACCCUGAAUAAAAAAAAAAAAGUGUGACCAUUCAAUUUCUUCCUUGAGUUUAAUAUUAAAGGCAAGUCCAAGGUCAAGAUGGGCGGAGGGAGGCUUUAGGGAGUUGGUGUAGUUCAUAUUUUGGCCAGUCAGCUGAGGAACCACGUGGAACUAAAAUUAGUAAAGUGUGUGCAGUGGAGAAAGUUCACACGGUGUAAUACGCUGUGGGCAGUAUUAGGGUUGACUUACCCAAUCUGUUAAUGGUAUGGUCUGUCUAGACCUUUGGAACAUUCCUUAGGUCCUUAUUUAAUGUAGGAGGAAUCAUUUCUGAAAUUAGCAUAUAAAUUGUCCAGAGUCAGCAGCCUUUUAAAACAGUAUUUCACCCUUGUGUCAAGGCACAAUCACUUGUUUUAAAAAAUACUGAUACAAAGGCAUAAACUGAGAAAAUUCAUUAAGUUUAAAAAGGGGAAAUGGUCAGGAUUUGAUUUGGGAGGUUUUAUUUGUUUAGUGAUGUUAAUAAGGGGAAGUGUAUGAUGAUAAGGAAACAUCUGGAAAGCUCUACUCACAUGGAAGGUUUACACUUACGUAACUGAAACUGGCAGGUUUUCUGAUUUUUGACAUUACGUUUUCUUCAUUCCUUGGUCUUCCAUGUAACCUGUAAAUAAGCCAUGCUGUGUGUUGUGUUCAUUUAAGGGCUCAGUCCAGCUGAACAAGCCUGGUGCUCAGCGCCAGGAUGCUGAAGGGGGAGGCGCAAGGAACCUGCUGGAGGGAAUCCUCCUCCCCAGCUCCAGUUUCUUUGCUGGCACUUCUGAGGUCUUUGCUUGUUUGCUCUUCAGCUGCCAGGAGUAAUGUACUGUGCCCUGUUCUGAGGUUAUCAGUUGCAAAGAAGGGUAAUGUAACAUGUAUUCAACUUGCAAAUUGUGCAGGAAUUGUCAGCUUGCAUUUGGAAAGAGUACAUUUCUAUACGGAGACAGCAAAUAAAUGACGAUACAGUGCAAUAGGUUUAGCUGGCAUGAAUCUGAAAUGACCACACUGAGCACUGAAGCCAACAAAAUCUUUGUAGUACAAAAUCAUGUGUUCUGAACGUGCCAUGUACUUACAGAAAAACUAUUCCUGGAAUGUUUCUAGAGAGUUUUAUAUGUUUAUUUGGUACUUACUUUUCUUCUACCUCGCUCCAAAAGCCAGGUGCUUUAAUCACAAUGAAAUUGCCCUGGUCACAGAGAAAUAGAGCUGGAAAAUAAUGCAACUACAGAAAUUCUUAAAGGUAACCUAAAAUAGCAUUUUUAUAUGUAACUGAAGAAAACAUCCGAACUUAAAAUUGUUAUUACCUCAAGUGUUCAAUACUGAAUUUGUUACCAAAAAUGCUUUACUGAAAAGCUAUUUCCAUUCCAGAAAAGUUUGGCUUGUUGCCAGGAAAGUCUUAAAGAUACUGGAUCUUAAAUUUGUCACGGUCCCAGUGUCCAUCCCGUGUGCCACCCAUGUCCUCUGAAGAGAGCAUGUUUCAGCUCCCAAUCUAAUAAAUAGUGACGAAGAACUGUUUUAGAAGGAAAGAAAAAUCUAGGAUUCCUUGAAACAAAACAAGCUGCUUAACUGAUGCUAGAGUAAGGGAUGUGAAGAGUUAUUUUGUAAGCUCUUUAUCCCAUCUUCUGUUCAACUGUCUUUAAAAUUAUUUUGUACGUAGGCAGCCCCAGUGACCUUCCCAUUGUGAAGUCAUGUUUGAGCUUCUAUUACUUUUUAUUUUAGGAUCUCAGAAUGCUAUAGGCAUGUGUAUUUUAAAGGCUCACACCUAGGAUGGCUACGCGUAAGAGUUCUACUAAGUGCAGAACUACGUGCAGUGGGCAGGUGCUGUGCUCUGUUUGCACUCUGCCUGGAACAGCGAGGCCUUGGCUGCUGUCUGUGGGCCAUUGCUUGAUGCUAAACAACAAUUGCAAGAGCAAUGUGACAGUGUUUCUGCCUGAGUGAGCGAUAGCAGUUAUUUAGUGACCGUGAACUUAGCAACCGAAGAACUGCGUUUAUUUCGCAGUCUUUAGAGAGUGUCUGAUCCAAAGAUAAUCAUGUGCAAAGUGUCAGAAUGUCCCGGAUGAACCAGAGCAGGCCCCUGUUAGCACAAACGUGAGGCUGGCUGUGGUGCUGCUGGGCAGGCACAAAUGGAGUGAGGUGCUGGGAGAAGGCAGCAUGCUGCACGGUGUACCAACUGCACCUUCACUGUGGGGCACCCAGGCUUCACUGGAGGGCAGUGCAGGCCUAACCUGCGAUGGCCGUUGUGAUUUUGGAGUUACUUUGCAGGGACCACUUUAAAAUGUUGGAAGAGGUCCCCCCCACCCCCUUCGUACUCAAUUUAAUUGGAAUUAUGGUGCCCAUCAAAAAGUAUUACUGCAAGGUGACCUGGAAAUAAUCAUUUCCUUUCAUCUAUAGCAAACAUUUGUAGGUCGUUAAAAUGUCACAAAUAAAUAAAGUCUUAUUCACAAAGAAAUGGCUUCAUGUGAUUCCAGUAAAAUAUGAGAUUUCAUUAUAUACAAAAAGGCUAUGUGUUGUAUUCCUGGUUCACAAAGCAAACGUCCAACACAUGUGGAAUGCACAGCAGGAUGUAGGACCCUCUAAGGGUUGUAUACAGAUAUAUGAAGGGGAAGAGGGGAAGAAAAACACUUGUGGGUCUGAGGAAACGACCCCUUCAGUAACAAAUGGAGCAUGUGCUCUGGGUCUCUGGGAGGAUUUGUGUGGGGAUCUUGCUCUCCAUGUGCGUGCAUUCCUCUGAAGCAGACAGGUGUUAAAGUGAAAUGGUGCCCAGAGGACGCAGCACCCUCCUGCUAUCAGCAGCCUGACCACAUGACAGAUCCGAGAGCAGCCAAGCACAACUGCCGUGGAGCUUGCCAAGGGGUUAGAUGCUGAAUACUGAGUGAGGUAUCUGUGCCAGCUUGGCACCUCUGGGCCAUGUGGCUGCUGCCAGUGUGGGGUUGUCAUUGUAACAUACUGGGGAGAGUGGAACCUGAAGCUGUCCUCUCAGUUCCUGCCGAGAGAAGGUAACUUAUUGUUGUGAAUAUAAAAUAUUAAUUACCUUACAAGUAUGCUUGGGAGGCUGUGCAUGGCUCUGGCAUCUCUCCAGACAUGCUGUGGUGAAAUCAGAGGAUUGCCUCCUGGCACUGGAGUCUGUUUUGCACCCCCCCCCCCCUCUCCCCCCAGCAUCACGCUGGAAAUGAGUAAGAGGAACUGUUUGGAAACAAUUGACAUCUGGGGAAAGAUGUUCAUUGGCUUCUGGGAUUUAGACCAGUCCCUGAGCUGGGUGCGUUAGGAGUGAACUUAACCAAUGCUGUAAUCUUUUGGCACCUGUUGCAGUUUUUUUGGCAGUGGCAUAGGACUGCUUUGAUUGCACUAUGACCGGAGUAGUGAGCAUAUGUCUGAUGCCCACCCCAGAAAGAGCAGCUUAGUGCCCUUAGUGCUUUACCCAUUGUUUUUCUUCCACUUUCUUAUUUGUCAAGCUGCUGUUAGUAAUCAUUGUUACAUGCAGACAAGCAUCUAUCAGAAUCUCCAAAGCUAACAAAUGAAGGACAAAGAAAGAGGAGAACAGGAAUUUGCAGAACUCUGUGUUGUCAGAGACCAGCUGCUUUUUGCAUUUGAUUUGGAAUUGUUUAUCUGGCCCUCAGUUUUAAGGAGUGUGGUAAACAGAGGACUCCAGGCAAAACGAUACGUCCUAGUGUCUGAGAUGUAAUCAGGAGAUGAGUAUUUGGGUUUAUAAAUAUGUUAAGCAAAACAACCAAAUAUGUAUCUUCAAGAAGAGAAUUCAGCGGACCCAUUAAAGGAAGUCUCUGCCUACAUGUCUCCGCACUGAUUGUACAUCUGUAAAUGGCCGCCGUCCAGCAAAGCUCUUAAGUGCAUGCUUAACUCUCAGCAUGGCUUGGCUACAGCAGUGUUGCUAACUUUGGCAUGUGAGCUUUUAUGCAUUUGGGGCAUCCACAUGCCUAGUGCUAAGCACAUGCUUAUGUGCCCUUCUGGAAACUAACUCCUCCUUGUGCCCUGGAGCAUGAGUCCAGUUUCCACCUCAGUUUCCUGCUCCUAGAGAGGGUAUUGAGGAAUAGGGCUGCAUAUCCAUAUGGACAUCACUGAAAUGCAGAGGUACAGGCCCCUGAUGCUUGCUGAUGCUGCAUGUAUUUUACCUUUCCUGGUGCCUUAGAAUCAAUGCAUGGACUCCAAGGGAUCUCUAGAACAUAGCAUAAGGUCUUCUAAUCAAAAUGUGUUGGUUUUCUGAAGGAGACUGUGAGCCCCUGCAGUCACCAGGGCUGUUCAUUAAACUCUGAUGGACAGACAUCGUUCCUAUAGACUGGAUUAGUAGAUUGAGAAGAUAUAGUGAGGUUGUCCAUAAAGGUUCCCAUUGCUGUAAAUCAGUGCAUCUUAAACACAAUUCCUGUACAGUCUGUACAGAACUCAGCAUUUAGUAGAAAAGGAUUCCUCGGUUAACCCUUGUGGCAGAACCAGUGUGGAAAUGGCACACAGUCCAUAUUGCACUGCAGCUUUGUGUGUCUGGACUGAUGGGCAGUCUGAGAGGUGCGCGUGUUGAAAUUUAUCAUAGCAUUUGCUGCCUUGUUAAAAGCUAGUCUUGAGAGGUGAGGUUAUCAGAUUAGAAGCAGAAGUCCUCAAAUGCUUAUUGCAGCUUCUGGAGUUACAACUCAGCUUUGCUAAUCUAGAAAGGUGAUGGAAGAUCCUAUGCUUCUUGUCUACUUGUAGACUGCAGAUGAGAAGAAUAUCAACAAAGGCUGCCCAAAUGCUAGAUCUCCUAAAUGUUGAACAAUGAAAAAUUAAUUGAAUGUAUUGCAGUAGUCACUGUUCAUAGAGCUCAUUGGGUACCUCUGUGUUUUAGAUUCUGUUUUAAAAAAAAAAAAAAAAGGGGGCAAAAUAAAAAAAAUUCCAUCAGAAACAAACAACUGCUUUCAUAAGUAAAGUCCAAGCAAGCAAUUCCAGCAAACUAUUCUAGUGUGCACAGUUCAGAGUCUGCUUGGAUAUUUUAUGAUCUACCAUCUGCAGCAGAAAAUUGCUGAAUGAGUAAUAGCAGGUUGAUGGUUGUUGGUUUUUUUUUACCUUUACUGAAGCCUGUUUGUGCUACAGUCAGCUUUGGUAUUUGUAGUCAUCUAUUUUAUGUAAGUUAAUUUUUGGACUUCAUGAAAAACCUAAAUGGGAGAAAAACAUCCUGUUGUGAGGCGGUUCUUAUCUGCUGCAUUGGAAGAAUUAAAAAUGGCUUUCUGAACAGUCCAAAGGAGUUCAUUUGAGGGCUAAAACCCAAAUACAAGUUUGAAAAGCACUUUAAAAUAUCUUUGUCUAGCUUUCUGCCUCUGGAGGAGGAAAAGAGAAAUUUAGCAAGCACCACAUGUUACAGAUGCUGCUCAAGAUGCUCAACACAUUACUUAAAGCUGUUCUGUAACCAUUAUGUUGUGAGUAAUAAAAGGAUGUGAAUGGGAUGGAAAAGGGAGAAUCCAGGUUUGCUGUAACCACAUCUGUAGCCUCACCAUUCACAUGUAGUAACGGGGUCAACUCACUUCUGCCAGUUCCUGCAGUAUUACUCAACGUACCUCUGCAGCACAAAGUGAUACCAGAUCAGGGUUACCUCUGAGUGAGCUGGCAUGUCUGCAGUAGGUAACCACACAGGGAUACCAGCUUCGGUGCCGGAAACAGUGAAGCUCUAUUACUGCCAUACGUAGUCAAUUAGCUCGGAUGUCACUGUGAGCAAAUAUUGCUAUAUUGCUGCUGGAUCUGCUGCUACGUUAAUUGACGCUGGCUUGGGGAUCUUUGCCCGAAUGUGCAGCGCAGACAUACCCAGGAAUGUGCUCCUAUUGUUGACUGAAUACUGUAUUUUCUCAUAAAUGUGGCAGGAGUAUAAUUGCAGGGUGGAAAAAGAAGGGCAAUAUACAUUCACUUCACUUUAGAAACUAAAUUAAACCUUUGACUUAACUCACUUCUAUACCAGCUCCCUGCAGGCAUUUCUACAGGCUUCAUUAGAGCCAACCUCGAGGCCAUGGAAAAGGUCUUACAAAAGCCCAGCUAGGAAGCCAGUCACAGCCCCAGAUCCCGCUGCUGCACAGCACAAUCCGCCUCUUGGCUCCUCGGGCCUGCAGCUGCCAGGCACUCUCCUUAUGUGGUCACUGGUGUUGGCUCACAGGCUGCAGCAGAUAGAAGAGGAGGGCUGAGGGGGAACACAUUCAUCACUGCCAGCGAGAGUGGGGGCAGUGCCAAGUCGCUAUGUAACUAAGCACAUGUGCCAAUUUGCUCGGUAAUUGGAUUGCUAUUUGAAAAAUUAAAGCGGUGUCUAGAAAAUUCGAACCUUCGCAUUUACACAGUAUGAAGCUCGCAGCUGAGGGCCUGCACAGGAAGAGUAAAGGUGACCAGACGUAGGUGUUUAGGAGAGUGGGCGUAGGAAGCGAUGUGAUUACUUUCAGAAGUGUUCCCCCAGCCUCACAAGCAGCCGCUCUGCAGAGAGACAAAGAGCAAGGCACAGCGCAGGGGAAAGCUGUAACGUUAUGGACAAGCUGUAACCCAUUGCUUACUAAGGAAAAUUAGCACGGGCUCGUCAGCUGAAAGCAAUUCGUGUAAAGAAAACAUAUCAUUAGAGGGAAGGGCUUGAUGUUGCUGUAAAUUUUUUUUUUUUUGCUGAAGAGGGGAAAAAAGCUGCUAAUGGCCAUUACAGUAUUUUCUUCCAAGCCUGCAAAUCUGUUACUUCUCUGUCUGCUAUUAUAUAUAUUAUUCUGAGAUGCCUUUGCUGAGCAAAUCCUAUGUAGUAAUGUCAAAACUUAAUUAUUUUGAAUUAUCCGGCUACAGAAUUUCUCCUUAAAGGUACACUUGUGACACAGAGCUGUUUCUGCUCCCCCUGAAAUCAAGUUCAGACCUCACUUUGACUUCAGCAGAAGCCCAAUUAUAUCCAAAAAUAUAGUUACCUAAAUAGCCCUUCAGGCAUUUCGCUAUUCUUUGCAGUUGAGCUCUCUGGCCACCCCUUAUUCAGCUAAAAAUUUUAAGCGUGUGGAUACAAUGGGUUAUAAAUUGUUCCUAAGGUAAUAUUUGUAGUUUAAAGUAUAAUCCGGUUGCUUGUAGACAUAUAUAAGCAGUGCCUGUGUUCUUCAUCACUGCUCAGCGGAAACUCAAGCUGGAAGCCUUGUAUUUAAAAUAAUAGAAAGUAGAAAUCGAUGGGCUUGUCCCAAAGAAGAACUAUUUGGAACCUCUGUGAAAUGUCUGAUUAUUUCUCAUGUGCUUAGUCCUGGUAGAAUGAGGUUAACACAUGUCAAAGUGGAGGCUCAGGAAAUUUUGGGUCACAUUUCUGCCCCUAGAUGGAGUCUUCUGCACACUGGUAUUUUUGAUAUUUGGGGAGAAUGGAGCUGUGUGUUGGAAGCCUUGAAAUGCCUCUUGUUCUGAAUUCCCUUUACAGUGUAUCAAGUGCUGCCCAUUGGGACGAGGGUAACUGGGACCCAGAAGACCAUUUAGAAGAGGAAAAAUCAAAAUAGGGUUUGUUUGUAGAAUUGUUCAGAUACUGUAAGAGACACCACAAUUUCUUAGUGUCUCUUGUUUGUUGGUUAGCGAUAGAUACCUGUGUAGUAAGGCAAAAAGUCUAUUUUAUAAAGCGAUGCUCAUUACUAUGAAAUGUCUGAUAUUUGCAGCUCGCAGUGCUUAGCAUUUCUGUGACUUUUGUGGUAUUCCCUUCUCUUAGUGUCCUGUGAAUGCCAUGGUAACGUUAACGACUUGUAAAACAUUUUAAUAGUGACCACUGUAAUAUAGUGGUUGUGUGCAAACAGCAUGCGCCAUUGCUUCAGAGGUGUUUGUAACAUUUUGUUUUUGUCACAAUCAGAGCAAAACGUUGCCAGAUCUCGAGAACCAAAUCCUAAACUUGCCAAACACGAAGCUGAAAGUGAGUUCUCUUCUGCAGCUUCUGCCUUUGAUCAUCUGCAGUUUCAUUGAUACAUUCCUACCCAGCACUCACGAGCUUAGUGAACCAUGGCUCUAGCAAGCACAGUUGCUUGGGAAAAGCAUUUGGCUGCAGACGCCGUGUUGGAGGGGGGAGGUGGGUGUUUUCCGAAGCCAGCUUUGGAAAAAUCUGUGUUGUUUUAUGUGUGAGAGAGAGCUCAGCUGCGGGCUCGCGGCUCAGGUAUGUUUGCAGGCGGCUUCUGGUUCCGCCUCUGCAACAGGAGGGACCAGCUGCAGGGUUUGUCCUUGGGCUGGGAGCUGGAUUCCUGCAGAAUCCAGGAUUUUGCUUUGGACCUUUUUAAAUGUGAUGUAAAUGCCAGCAGCUUCCUAACAACUGUUCGCGGAGCUCGGAGCAGAAUUUACAGUGGACUCUUGUGAGUGAGAAGAGAAAGGAAAAGCUCAACAAAACCUCUGUCAUCUGAGCAGAGUCCUGAGAAAUGCUUUCCAGCUUUCAAAGAAAGAAAGGGUCUUAAUUCAGAUUUGCCGGAAUUGUCUAAUUAGUUCCUUUAAUGCCAUGCACCUUAUAGUCUGUGCCGCCAGCUUCGUCCUAUAAAUGAGACGAUGGGCUAAUUCAUCUUGGCAGCAGUAAACAGACCUUGUGAUUGUCCUCCCCACAAACACCGGCCUGCUUUUAGGAGAGUGCUUUGACCAAGCCCGCGUCCUCGCUCCCUCUGCUGUGCCCCCCUAUUCCGAGCGCUGCCUCUGCUCCGCACUCUCCUUCCCCACCGACCCACCCCACCCCGUCUCGCACACAGUGACAUACCUCACACAUUUGCCACUGCUAACAACAACCUGUCAACUCUUUCUUUGCACCGUGCUAGGCGCCCUUUGUUUCUGCAGCCCAGCAAGCCUUGCAGCUGUUGUCCGAGGCCUGCUCCGACAGCCUGUGAUCAGUCAGCUGCAAAAUCCUCCCUGAACAACUCGGUAUUCACAGCUCUAAUCGGGCCAGCGGACUGUUUCCUCCUCUCUCGCAGUAAAUCUUUAUCACUUGCGCUCUGCUCGUCAGUUCGUGGCGCCAGCUCUUUGGGCAGCUCGAUCCCUUUCCCAUACUCUGCUGCGCUGUGUGCUCUGAAUGCUAACUCCGGCCUCGUUUAGGCUCGGUGCUGCGGUCCACAUGUGGGGAAUGUCGAAUUCCUUCUCCUUUCCCAUCUUCUAAGCUGCAUGUACCGCAAGUUUAUCUCUCUUCAAACACAAAGAUACCCAAAGGCUCCCUCCUUCUGCCUAUUUCAUAUUGUAUCCUUAGAGGUUAAUUAUGCAAUUAUCUUUCCAGCAGCCUGUUGUGCUUCUGUAUAAGAGCGGCCUUUGGUAGGAAGAGCAGGGUGAGUGCCCAGCCCGAGGGAGCUGGUGGUGGCAAGGGAAGCCCUGGGGAAACUGGCACAGGCUUUAAUUUGAUCGCAUGCCCAGGGCUAUUAACCUUCCUCUUAAUGGUUCCCCCAUGGACGGAAACACAUUUCCUUCCAUCCUGUCCCUCAGUUGAUGCCAUCUCAGUCUUUUAAAAGAUUUACAUCUAAGAUGUUGAAUUGUGAAGCAGGUUUUUAGAAAACAGAUCAAAGUUUACUUCCUUGGUAUCCCAGCUGAGUGGAGGGGAGUCCGUGCUGCUUUUAGGAUGAGGUUUGUGCCAGUGUGGGGCUGCUGAAGAUUUAUUCUUGUGGAGCUGAAAGCACAACUCUGUGUCCAUUGCUACUUCUGCUACAGCAUGACAGCUCCUCCUGCCUCUUUUGGCAAAAUGCUGUGGAGUUUUGUUUUCCCCUGAGUUGUGCUUGGGCCUGGGGUCUGAGAUGACCAAAAGUGUAAUUAAAGCUCAGUUAAAGAACAAGUUUCAAAGAGAUUCAUCUAGCUUUCAAGUACGACAUGCUCAAGGUUACUUUUAAAAACAAAUUAUUUGGGACAGUGAGGGUUAUUUGUGUUUGUAAGGAGCCUGCGAAGAAUUUGCACAAACACUGCUCUGAGGACCAGAACUACUGUUUUUUAAUCUUGUCUCUUAAUCUGUUUCCACCACUGGAAAAUCCAUUUCUCUUCCUGCUUCAGCUUCCCCUACUUUCAAAACCUUCUGUUUCGGCCCCUCCAGGUGUGUGGAUGCAUGCAGGGGUGAAGAUUAUCCAGAUACAGAAAUACUUCUUUAAGAGUAAAACUUGAAUUUGGAAAUUUGUUGUUGCCAUUAAUUUUAUAAGGCGGCUGUGAAAUAGAUGCUGCUUGGAAAAUCCAAGUUCAUUUCCACUUAGACUUUCUACUCCUUGGUUCCUCAUCCAGUAUAGUGGAAGGUGGAUUUGUUUGAUCAAAAAUAAACUCAUCUAUGUAGGAUUCUUUGAAAAAAAAUUUCCAUGAAGCAUAAAUUUGCUGUCCAUUACAGUCAAUUGGACAUGUAGAGGAGCAUUGCAAUUAGACAGUAUUAAGCAGGUAUGUCCAGUAAAAUGCAAGCAAUGUGUGGCAUAGCUUAGUUACCGAGCUAAACAUUUGGGUCUGACAGCCUUGGCAUGUGCCUGUCUCCCAUGUGUUUGUUGCUGUCUGCACUCAUAUUCACUUUCUGGCCAUGAUGGUCAUGGUUGGUGCACCCUACUUAAAUUACUCCUGUGUACAUCUCUAGAUGGGAUGUUCUGCUACUAUGUAACUAGAUGUAUAAACACAUUUUAGACUUAAUUUAGGGGAAUAUCUCCAAUCUUGCCGGUAUGUGCUGCAGAAACCCUUUUGUUUCUCAGUGCGUUCUUCAGUGAAGUUGAAUGUUCAUAAACAGCUUCUGAAUACUAGCUUUUUUUCUGUAGGCUGUCUACAAGGAAAGCAGGUGAAGUAUGACAUUGAAUAGUAUGGCACGUUGAGCUGUUUGUUGGGGGAAGCUUCACUGUUCAAAGUGCUCUUGUGAUCAGAGUCAGUUUGGUGGGACAGCAGAUAGAGAACACAGCAUCUUGACAAGUCCUAGGCAAACAUCUUAGAUAACCCUUUCUCUUUCUCUGAUUUUGCUCACAAUACUCUUCUCAGCUCCUUCCUCCAUGUCCCAGGGUGUUACCUGCCAUCCUUUGGUGACACUAGCUGUCCACAGGGUCCCAGAGGUUGCCACAAGGCUGGUGCUGUAGCUGAGUUCAUAGUUUGGCUCACAUGGCUCUUGUCAUAAGUGAUGGAGUGAGACAUUGCAUGUAGUCAACCACCCAUGCUUCUUCCAGACUUGUAGUCUUGUCUAUCCUGUGAGUCUUGUUGGACUGUUUUUUCUUGCAGUUUUGAUGACUAUGAACUUUGGAGGAAACACAGGUUAUGUUCCCUGACCCCCACUAUGUAAAAAUGUAAUAGUAAGUUCAGUCCCUUUUUACCUUAUUAUUUUUUUUUGAUCAAAUAGUAAGCUACAGGACAUAGAUAUUUCAUGAUGUGAUGUCUUGUAUUUUAUGAAACAGUAGCUCUUCACCAUGCCUGGGGUAAGAAAAUCCAUCCUGUGUCCUCUGUACAAAAACCAGUGGAUUUUGAAGGGCUCCUCAAGAACAUCCUUUCCAUAGCUUGUUGGCACUGUCCAUGCGUGGCUGUUCUCCUGUACGUCUAAUGAUGUUUCUGCCCCAAAGUGAGGUUCUGCUGAAGGAUGCAGCUGCAGACUUGAUAUGUUUUUCUGUUGGCUGUUGCUGGAGGAGGACUUGUUUGUGGCUGUAGGAUGAGCAGAGUCAGAGAACAGCUUUUCCAGUUCACUAGUCCAAAUUGCAAAAGGACUUGCCUUUCCUAACGUGAAUAUCUGCAGGAGCAGGAUAUUUUAUUGCUCGGUUGUUCUGUUUUUAAGGAGCAAUGUCAACACUUUUCCAGCUCCUCAAGUAUUUGACUUUAGAAAAUUUCAGACCUCAGCAACAUUCUUUUUGAAUUUUUUUCCUAAUUUGCUGAUAAUAUGCUUACUCUGUAAUUCCAUUUUAAAAAAGUCUUUUAGUCUAGGAAUUUCCUUGUCUGAUUUACCUCAGACUUUCCAGAAAUAUUCUACCUUGGCAUGAAGUUUGCACCUGUGGAAGUUCAGGGAAAUUGGUUUAGGUUUUGCUAAAUGAGGAAGGGCUUCUGCCAAAAUCGGGUUUAUAAUGAAAGGCUGGUUUAAAUAUGGACAGACGAUGCUCUUCAUAAUUAUUAGGUAACAUUAAUGUAUAAUCAGGCCCGUAAAGGGAAAAAAAAAAAAGUGGACUUUAUCAUGCCUAUGAAAAUGAAUUUUUGUUUCUUCUUUGGCAACUCAGGGGAGAAUGUAUGCUACUAACCCAUCUUGUUUAAUUUUGUGAGCUGCCACUUGUGUGCAAAUUUCCUGUACAUCUUAAAAACAUGUAAAAGAUGAACAAAGAAGGAGGAGGAAGAUUAUAAAUGGAUCCAUGUGACUGCCUCUUCUCCAGGCAUUUUUUCCCCUCGCUUAAGAUGUUUGGAGGGAACGCAGGGCCAUGCAGUGUUUGUUAAAGCUGAUGGAAUAUCUUCCUCCCUCGGGGUAUUUCUUUAAUCAAUGUUUCUUUAUAGCAUUAGGUCAUCUCCUCUUUUUUAAUUUUUUUUUUUCUGAAGAAUCCUUGUUUUGUAUGUUUUCAUGCAUUCUGACGUUUAUUCUCAGAAUUAUGGCCUGAUCACUUCCUGUCCUUUUCCUCAAAAUUUCUCUCGUUUUAUCUAUUUUAAGUGCUGAAGCACAAAGAUAACCCCAUCAUAGUUCUCUCAUUUUCCCCAGUGCUUCCCCCCCCCCUUCCCUCCCCGCAAUGAAAAAUGAAAGGUCUCAUGGUCUUACAGAUUUUCUUUAUGCUUAUUUUGGCCUAUUUGCAACCCAAAUACAUCACUAUAAGACGGCUCUCUAAGGCUCUUGGAUCAAUUAAAGGUAGCCCUAUUCAUUGCCAGUACAAACCUUUGCCUAUUAACUCUUUCAAAGGGCAUUUGUCAUCGCAAAAAGCUGUGAAUGCCGUCUGGGUUCAUUGAUUAAAAAAAGGUAUUGUUUUAAGGCUGCUGAAUAUCUUAAUUAGUUGUAAUCAGAGGGUAGCUUGUGUCUGUAAAGUGAUACAGUUACCUUUCACCUACUUGCUUUAUUCUGCAUGUUUUAAAAGAAAAAUAUCUCAUGUAAUUCAAGCAGAGUGUUCAUAGGGUAGAAGAGAGGAGUGCCCUUGCCGAUCAAAGCAUAAUUUAUGACAUUAUUUCAUAAAGCCAAAUAGUUAAUGUGCUAACUUGGAGAAUGUCUCGUUGGCCUACGACCAGCCAUGAGAGGGCGAGCAGAGCGAUGUUGCUCGUUGCCAGCUAUCAUCCUCCUUUCUUCACUCAGAAAUCCAGCGUCUGUAUUCUGGAAGUGUAGAAAUCCACCCCAAUUCUGCAAGCACCCGCACGUGUGCUUAGCUAGAGCGCAUGAAUAGUUCAUUAAUACGGAGUAUGUAUGGUGCUGUUUGCCAGACCAAGGUAGAACAGGGGAACAUUUUUUAGACCACUGGUUCGUUUGCUGCAAUUGUGGUCUCAAACGGUUUGCAGCCAUUUGUGAAUUUGUACUAAAACCGGGAAAUUAUUUAAGCUGGGAAAAUGUCUUUUCUGCUGUCCUCUGAAUCAAAACAUUUCUUUCAGUGGUUAAUAAUAAAAGUCUGUUUCCUAUUUGAAGAGACUCUUCUGAAAAUUAUAAUCCACACUUUUCCUUGGGCUUUAUGAAAAGCUUUGCUUGUGCUUGAUGCUGUUUUGGUUUAUUUUUCUGAGAAAAUAGUUUGUAUUUCCCCUAAAAUAUUUCACUCAGAGCAAAUGGUUAUUUACGUGCCUCUGAUGGAGAGACUGGGCUGUAAAGAGAUUCCUUCCAGUCACAGGUCUCAGUGAUGCACCAGUAACUUGCAUAGGUUGGCCUUUACCCUCUGGUGAUGCACUUCCAGAGAUGAUGAUUUAGGGAUAUAUGCUUUUCUUUCCAUAAUUGUGUAAAUAUCUUCUUACAGGGAGGAAAAAUGCACCUGACAGAAAAUCUUAAGUCAUGACUGGUAGAAAUAUUUGCUUUUGCUCUUUAGUAAGAUACUGGAUCGGAUAAUAGUCAGACUAGAUGGUCUUAGUGGUCUUUUCCAAACUCAGUGAUUCUAUGAGUAGAUGACAAUUUAUUUUGGGAAAGGGGGCACAAAUGGUGUCUUAUGGGGAGACUCCAUUAUCUGGGAGAAAAAGUCUUUAGAGUUAACCAGCAGGUUAACCAUGUACACUGAGUUGCUGGUACCAUUUGGUCAUCUGGGAAGCAGGGCAAUGCAAUACCUGGGAACUGCUGGACAUGCGAAUCCUUAACACCUGCUCUUGGCUUACAGUUUGGUAGAUUUUAUUGUAAAAAAUGCAUGCAUGCUUGCACAUGGAUUCUCAAGGCAAUGUGGCAAAGUUGCGUAAAUGCUAGCACUGCUAUAUCCGAUCUCUUAUUUUUCAGUGAAUAAGUGUACUGUGUAAUGCUUCCCUCACAGGACAACUUUUCUGUAGUUGCCUAAGUUCAUCUUGCAGUACUUUUUGUGAAGUACUUGGAGUACUUCAUGUCCUUUUAAAUAUUUUUUUCAAAAUAAAAAUACUUCAGAAGGACUAGUUCCAAUUUCAGUUGACUGUACAAUCAUCUCUGUUUCAUAGAUAUGGAAGAACAGCCUGAUAAAGGUUAAAAUCCUUAUUCAAGAAAAUGCAAAAAUUUAAGCACGUGUGUUAAUGUUCCUGUGAUUUUGGCGUAAACUAUUCUGAAAAGUUUUCCUGGGAUGCUGUCAGAGGCAAAAAUAGAAUAUGCACUGGAGUUGCAGACAGUGCCUCAGUCGCAGUAUAUGUGAACAUUAGAAAUUUUCUUUCAUACUUAGUAAUAAAUGUGAGGCAUGACAUGGUCGUUUGGAGGGGGAUUUAUUUUAAUAGUUGGUUUUUUAAUUCAACGAUUUAUAUGCUACAAAAAGAUAAUUUUGGUGUGAGGAUCAGUGCUGUUCUAAGCUUUUUCUUCAGCUUUUUAUGUUUGCACAGAAUUGUGCAGAACCUUUUCUUUGAUCAAGUGCCUCGGAAAUAAGUUUGAAGAAACAAAACCGCCCAUUUCUACUGUAACUCUGAUGUGCAUAUGAAUUAAUAUAUAAUAGUAUUGUAUGUCUUUCUCUAUAGAACAUUUUUAGGUGUCUGUAGAACUAGGAGAUGAUUUAUGAAGUGUGACUCAUUUUUCCUUCUUCACACUGUUCCACUGGAAGAACUCGGACUGCGAUGAGAAAAACUAGUACACGUUAUUAAGAAUUCCGAUAAAGUAGGCUGAAUAAAUUUGUUUUCUUUGUGAGCCUUAAUCCUGUGUUGUAUUGGCUUCUUGGACAUGGCUAAUUUAUUUGGAAUUCCAUUCUGUUCCCGACAGCAUUCCUGAUUAGCAGUUUGAUCACCCGGAGCAAAGUUACAUACCAGCUUUCAACUCUUGUAAUCUAGCAGUGUAAUUUUUUCAAAUGGACUCUUUUCUUUCCUUCUUUGCCCUAGCUCCCUUUCUUUAUAUGCGCAAAAGAGACUUUAAAAGUAAGCAGGAUAACCUGUUAGUAGAUUGAAAAAUUUGUACAAAACAAUACAGUUUGCUGAAUGCCCAACUUGUGUCUGGCUACAAAGCAUCUGAUGUAAAGUUCAGAUGGGAAUAUAGAAACUUCCAAGAUCAGCUGGAUCAGUGAGUGCUUAUUGUGAGUUCAGUAUUUUGUAGCUAUCAAAAUGCGAUUUAAGAAAGCAGACGUUUAAGGAGAGAAAGCCAGAACAUAAAGUUCAAGCCCCGCAGUCCCACGUCAUUUUUUGAUUUAGUGUGAUGAUGGUAGGCCUGAUAAUUUUCUAUUGCUCACAGGGCUUCAAACAAUCAUAGAAAUUUUUUCUUAAAGUUCAGCAUGUGUUUAAUAUGGACCUAGUUGAAUGCAGCCAUAUUUUUGAUCAUGUUUUUAAAGUUUUCAAGGCUCUGUUAAUUUCCAGUUGAAGCUACAUAAGAAAUAUUUUAGCUAUACCUUUCAAAUAACGUACUUUGAUUUUUUUUUUAAGCAGAAAAGUAAGAUUUGGAGCUACGUCAGUCCAGUUCCAAUAUGCAAAAUAUUUUCUAUCAUCACUUGGAUAGAUAUUUUUCAAUGAUUGCAUUUUUUGAGUAUUGUAAUAUCUUCAAGUCCUUUCCAUAAUCUGUAGUUUUGUCAAAGCAUAUUCUGCAUGUGCUAGGUUUUAGAAACUUGUAUGUUUAAUGGCUAAGUUUGUGACAUGCUAGACCUUGUAUGGAAACUGCAGUUGCAUCGUUGUUCACUUCUGUUGGUGUUGUCUUAUGCUGUCAAAAUGAAUGAUGACUGGGAAACCCCAAUUUAAUAGUAAAUCAGAGCAAGGUUUUGAUCUGAUUUCUCUUUGGUGGUGCACAGGAGGAGCAUCCUCAGAGUGAAAUGUAGAAAUGCUGCAUUUAGCAGCCCCCUCUGCAAGUGUACGGUGUGCUGAAGACACAUAGUUGAAGGUGAAAGGGAACUGGAUUUUCUAAUCUGUGACAUUUCUUAAGGUCCCGAUCCGGUUUUGUGCUCAGUGAGGAGAAAGAGAGGUUUUUAAAUCACAAGAAACUUGGGAAUAACCCAGGGAGAGGUGUCCAUGGCACUGAUCAAGAGACUCAAAAUAGUGGUUUUACAUAUGAAUGAUUUGACUGUCUACUUACAAAAGCUUGAUCUGUCUUUCUGCUUUCUUCUGAUCUUAAAUUUCAUGGAUCUGAAAGACAUCUCCUGACAAUUUUUUUUAUCAAAGCUGGAGCGUGUUUUACCAGACUUUCUACUUUUCAAGAGCUGGCAGUUUGAUUGAAAUAGUUAAAUCAAAAAUAAUAAAAAUAAAAAUAGUUAAAUUACACAGAAUCACAGACUGUGACUGGGAGGGACCUCAAAAAUCAUCUAGUCCAAUCUACCUGCUGGAGCAGGAAGAAAUUGUCUAAUGGACUGCUGCAAUAGCAUGAAUUCAGUGGGAAAAAAAAAUCCACGGAAGGAGAACUGAGGAAGGAUGGUUUAGGUCUAGAUCCAUUCUAUGCAAAUGCAUUCAGUGAAAAUUCCUUAAUUUCACCAGGAAAAAGUCCAGAGGAUCUUUCCAAGCAAUAAAACUGCACAACUAACCAAGUGUGAAGACAUAGCAAGUUGUGUGGGAUCUCUUGCAAGUGAAGAAGAAAUGGAUAUAACUGAUCGAUAAUAAGCUAUUUUAAUGUUUGUAAUACAAAUUCAAAAUAUUUGUGAGGAUUUCAUCCUGUGAAUGACUAAACAUUUUUGUAUUUUUAUACUUGUUCAUCGGGAGGUAGUUGUUUUAGAUAUCAUUAGUAUUUUAAUUUGGUGAUAUGGUUAAAUACCAUGGCAUAUACACAAGCUAUUUUAUUACUUCUAAAUUGUGUGCUAUUUAUGCUCCUGCAGAGAAAAUUCUAUGAAGUGAAGAGAAAUAAAGUAUCUGCUACUGAGCAUUGUGUUGUACAGCAGCACACAGCAGAGAUAAUGCAUUGACAGCUUCCCAAAUGGGAAGGUCUUAUCAACUCUUCAAAAUACAGAUCUCUUUAGGUGAUCAUUUUUAAGACAGAUUUUUAUUAUUAUUUUAAAUCUUACUUGUGACUCCGAGGCCUUAAGGAUGGUGCUGAAUUUGAGUUUUACAAGCACUCAGUUUUAUGGAUGCUGAAGUUACUCAUAAGGGAGAAAAUAUGUAGUAAAUGAAAUAUUUUAUUUCUGUCCUUGUUUUUCUUGAUCAUGGAAAUGGGCAUAAUGAACUGACUGUGGUGGGAAGAGCAUGCUUGCUGGGGACUUUCCAGUAGAAAACCAGUGGGGCAGGUUUUGACUCAGUGCAACACUGAAUGAUCUUGAUAUGUGCUCAUUAUCACAAGAUAUUUCAAGCAGGAAUUGACAUUGAAUGUCCAAUUUUGUCCUCUAACACUGUGAAUACCUUGAAUUGGCUCUUUGUAAGUGGUGGUUCAUUUUCACUGUGAUGUAUAUUGCUUGUUCAGGAGAUUUCACGUAUAUAAACUGGAGCAAGGUGACUUUUUCACUCUGAUAACUGCAGCAGGCACAUGACUGAGAGGUAAGUGCUGGUCCUAAAUAUCUUUCUUUCUUUUUCUUUUUUUUUUCUUUUCUUGUUCCUUUUUCUUUUUUUCUUCUUUUAACAGUGAACUGGGAACUUCUGUUAACCACGUUGAUACUCACAAAUCUUUGCCAUUUUCCUCUGUAGAUAUACUAACUUUUGAAUGUGUGGAAAAUACAGUAAGUAACAUAUCCUAUUUUUUUUUAAAUUACAUAUAUUUUGAAAAACAUUUCAAACCGGUAAUGGUGGAUAUCAUGCAAUUAUUGUUGUAUUGUCUGCUUUAUUGCAAGUAGUUUCUCAGGGUAUAUUAAAAUUUAAAGAAUUAAAUUACAUUUUAUGAAGCAGACUGCCUAAUUUAUAAUUGGAGCUGGAAAAGUAGAGAUGAAAUCUGUUGCUUUAUAUUUUAAAAGGCAUUAUGCAUUCUUGUUGACCUUCAGAGCGAUUAAUUAUGUAAUGUUAAUUUAAUAACAAAAUGCAGAAUUUGUCUUAGAAAUAGUUUCGAGUAGAUUCAAAUUAGAGGAUUUUAAUAAAUAUAGCAGGAGAUGGUAAUAUUGUCGAUUAUGUGAUGAAAACCCAUGUUAGUAAGAAAAAACCACCCACUAGGAGUACAGUUUUGUCUUGCCCUUAUUUUCUAGGGAGAUGACUAGUUGAAAAAUGGUUUUAGAAAAUAAAGUCUGAGCAGAGAGGAUGCAUUUUGGUGAUGCAGCAUGCAUUCUUUGAAAAAGGCAAAUCAUUCAGAAUAAUGGCAUGCACUGGGAACACCUGUUAUUUGAAAAUAUGUAUUUGGAAAAAUCCAGAUAAGAAUGAUUAAUAUGUAGGCUCUGCAUAGUGCUUUUUCUCAGUGAGUCUCAAAAUACUUCACAAAGGAGAGGAGAAUAUCUAUGCAUAUUAAACGGUAUCUUCUUACGCUCACAUAUUUUUUUUUCAUCUGGCACACAGAAUCAUCUUGUCCUUGCUGCACAUUAAUUUUCUGUGUGAAGCAAUCUGUCCUAAGAAGUGAAAUCUAAGCAGAAAAAUACUUUCCUUCCAUCUCCAGCAACUGGUGCUUCCUUUGUGUGAUUGAGCACGGUGCCCACGAGGAGUGCCAAGUUGACAGCCGCAGUCCGGAGCCACAGAGCUGCCAUUGAGCAGGCUGCUGGCGUGGGAGCACGCCCAGCGUUGUGCAGAGCACAGCGUCAGGCACGAGGAUGUGCGGUUUAUCCUCUGGCUUUGACACCUCUCAGGGAAUGCAGGGGAUGGCAGGGCCGGGACACUUGUGAGCCCGGGAGGAGGCACCUGUUUGCUUGGCACUGGAGGAGCUGCCAGUUUGUAGCUGACAGAGCAAGUGAACUGUUUGUCAGACUGCUUUUCCUGCUUAAAUCCUGUACAGAUGAGAAGAAGAUUUCUCAUCAUCCGUGUUGAUGCGAGUCUCUUAAAAACAAACAGGUUAAAGAAACAGUUGUCAGGAGUGACAUAGCUGAUCUUGCUUUAGGACAAAUGGAUAGACCUCUUGGGUCCUUUUCUUCCUUUUUUCACUCCUGUAAAUAGAGGUGGCCCUAUUACCAAAUAUAUGCAUAUUCAUAUAUAUCGUAGAAUCAUAGAAUGUCCGAAGCUGGAAGGGACUCACAAGGAUCAUCAAGUCCAAACCCUCACAUGUAGACCUUCUGGAAAACUUAUUCAGGAAUAUGAAAUGGUUGCAUCUAGCAAAGUGGAAAGUAAGGCAAAAAAAAAAAAAAAAAAAAAAAAAAAAAAAAUCAAGCAUAUAUUACUGUUUGAAAUAAAACAUUUGCUGGAUACAUAACACUUGUAUGAGCUGGCACCAUAUAUGAUAUUCAUGCUUUAUAUUCAUGAGCACCCUGCAUGUUUCCUUGAUACAGAGAAGAGCAUCCAUUUUGAGGGAAUCUAGAGGGUGAAUACCAGGGAUCACUGCAAGUCCUUUGUGCUUCAAGCUUUAUUCAUGCCUUUCCCCAUAAAGCAAGCAAAUACCGGGAGGACCAUUUUGGGUUUUACUUCGAUCAGGUCUUCUGGAAGGUUGUAGACACUUGUUCUAAUUUUUCUUGCCAUAGAGGUGGUAUAUUUAUCAUUAUUUAGCUUCUCCUCAUCAUUCAGGCCCUCUGAUUUCAGGAGGUUUUAUUUGAUUGAUCCUGGUUGGCAUCAGUGAGAUCCAGGACUGGCAUGCUGGUACUGAUUGAUACAGGAGAUGGUUGAAUCCUUGCUGGCUGCAGUCACUGUUUCACUGACCCAGCUGACAAUGAUGUCGUCAUUCACCUAUAUUUAUUUUCUCCCCCUUGCUGCAUUUUCCAGCAAAAUCUUAAGUAGCUGAAGAGAGUAGUCCCUUUAAACUCUGCAUUUUUUGAGGUCUGUAGGUAUAAAAAGACACUCAUUGUUCAGUGCUCCUCCACAAAGAAUCCUUCUUAAUCCUGAUGGUGUGCAUUCAUCCCUAGGUUGAGCCUUCCUCUGCAGAAGAAUUUGAGUUGUUUCACAUUCCUUCAUAAAUGCGCAUAGGGUAAUACAACAGACUUUUUCCUUUUAAGCAAUCUGAUCAGUUCUCACACUUUCCAACUCCAUUAGAAAACCCCUGUGGUAGCUGAGAGCACCCAUUAAUGUGAACAAACUCCUGAAACUCCUUAAAGUAUUUUCUUUGCCGUGCCAUUUAACUGUUUACAAAGCCUGGAGCUUUGCUCCUGAUACACAGUCAAUAAAAGGAAACAGACUAAAAAUUGUUCCUUGUAAUGCAGAUGUAUUUGUGUUGUUCUUGUAGAAGACAAUGUGUUGAAUCUCAUGAGGUUACCCCAGUCAAGGCAAUGGUAAUGUCCGAGAGAGUAUUGAUACUUUAUAUUUUGUGAUGGGUUUGGUUUAAUGCAGAGUUUUGAAAUUCAGGGAAGCAGUCCUGUCACUAUGCUAUUGCUUGGACCUCGUCCAAGCCAUUUCUCUUACUGCUAAUCCUUCAUGCUUUUACCUUCACAACUGUACUUGUCAUAUUCCAAUUGCUGAAAUCCAGACCCAGACAAAAUACUGCUUAAACAUCUACCUAAGACCUUGUUCCCCUUCUGAACCACCUCCUAGAGCCCGUGCUUGGGCUCUAGGGGUGGGGACCUCAAGGUAUUACUGCACUUAUUCUCUUAUUUUAAAGGAAAAAGAAUGUAUAUUUUGCAGAGCUUUAAGUCUCUGAAUCAGGCUUUUAUUUCUUCUAGCUGGAAAGUAUGGUUUCUGGGGAAAAGAGCUUGCUAGCUGAGCAAGUUCAAAAAGAUCUUAGCAGUUACCCAGCAAUUACUCAUUUCAUCAAUCCUCUAUAUUUAAGGAGAUAAAAAGCCCCUCCAGUGUUGUUUCCUGCAAAGACCAUUCUUAAGAGCUCGUUGGACAGCACAGGGCUCUUGAAGUGAUAGCUAAUUGGUGAAAGAAAGGCCCCGAUUGUCUGGAGGGAGCUGGAAAGUGCUGCGUGUGCUGCUGAAAGGGACUAGGGAGAAGGUGCCUGGUUUCGCUGAGCAGCUGCUGCUGGAGAUGUUUGGAGAUUACAUCAGCAUUGGAAAAAAGGGGCAAAAAAAAAAGUCCAACUUCACAGAGACGGAGUUUAUGGAGUUUUUUUCCCCUUCCAAAGGUCUUCUGACAAUACUGUCAUUGUCAAUAUAAGAGUUGUUAAUUCUUCAUGAAUAGCACAUGGGGCCUCUUGACUAAAUGGUACGUUACAUGUCCCAAAUCUGUCAGCUGGGCUCUUCUCUCACAUGCUAGUGAGAUCACUUUGAUUGGAAUGUUACAGGAAUUGCUGGGCCGGCCGCACAGAACUGAAUGCUGCAUUAUAUAAUUAGAUCUCCCGGAGUAUUUUUUUUGCAUUACCUCAUUAUUCUAGCUUAAAUAUGGAACCAGUCGUUUUGAUGAUUUUACUGGUUGUAAUUAUAUUAAUACGAUUCAUUUUAUGGUCCUCUCUUAGUGCUUAUAUAGAUUACAAACUGUCUCGAAGGUUUCCUGACAGGAGAAAAGAGCUCUAAGGGACCUCAGGAGGCUUCUUCAGAUUUGGACUGACAGUGAGGACAACUGGAUGAGGUAAAUGGACGUAGAGCAGAUUUUACCUCGGCCUCUGAAGGGAGAGAAAUGGCCAGUUGAGACUGCAACUCAGUGAAGAUCCUUCAGAAGGCCUCAAGCUGACAGAGAGGGAAUAGAAACCACAACAACUGACUGAGUCAAAUGACUUCCUAUCAGACUGGCUCAAGAAUUUGUUGUUGGGAACAGGAUUGUGGAUGUUUGCCAGUUAAACGAUCUGGACAAGCUGGAAGGAAUCCUAUUGUUGGGCAGUCCAAGGCUGUCAGUGGCCCAGUCUUCCUACAUGAAAUGCGAUGGCCCAUUGCCUGCUGGACAAGCUGCUGGUCUGCACGUUAGGAUGUCAGCUGCACGCCCUGCCUGGAUGCAACAACUGACUGUGCCUGAACGAACACGGGGAUUACUGACCCAGCUCAGGAUCCACGUCUAAUGCUGCUGAUUUGCAGAGUGGAUUUUUACAUGACUGACUUGUUGCUAAAUUCCUCUUGUGGUUUCUCCCUGUCAGUCAGAUCAGAAGCUGGUUAUAACCUGAUGAUCGCUUUUCUUGUCAGGUGGUAUAUCUGAGUAACAGAAGUGGCUGGACACCACUGGGAUAGUCUGUUCCAUGAAAAAUAGAUCAGUGUAUUACAGUUUGUCUGACAGACACCAGCUCUGCUUCAGCAGUGCUGGAUGUGGGGGCACACGACAGUGCUUAGAGGCCUUGCAAAGUUGUUUCUCUUCUAGCCUUUAGUAAGGAGCUACCAGGACAUGGAAAGCUUUGACUACUCGCCCAAGGCAGGAGUGACUUGAGAUUUUUUGCUUAAUGCAUCUUGCAAAGUGAGACAGGGCUCCAAGUGAACUGCCUGCUUUCAGAUGGAUGUUACACUGAGUCAAACUGCAAAAAAUCUUGCUGCGUAUGCAACGCAAUUUAACAUCUGCUUUUAAGAACUUGGUCUUCCUACAGCAAAAGUAGGAAAAUUGUAUUGCUUUGCCUGAGAAAGAAAGUUGAACUGUGGUAUCGUUGGCCCAGUCCUGUCUGGUAUUUUUAAUGACAUGCUGAAGUGAAGGCUGCCACUUCAUGAACUGGCUUCUAUACCUCUUGGUAGCUUGCAUAAUGAUAUCAGAAUUCAGCCUAGGUAAAAGCCCAAAGCAUUCCCAUGAAAAGUUUUUGGCACAUUCAUGACUCCUUUAGGCUUGUUCCUUAGUAACUACUGAUCAGCCUAUAUCUCUUUGUCAUUUGAAGCCUCCUAACAUUCAGACGUGAGAUAUGGUGCGUGUUUAUACAAUGGAACAGAAUAAAUGUGAGGCCGAUUGAUUUCAGUCUCAGAUUUUAUUUGUGGUAGAUGACCAAUCUACAAAACAGUUUGCAGUGUCUGAAGAUGCAUGUCAUUGACUUGAAAUCUAGCUAGUAAAUAAAUUAAAUGUAGAUGUAACUAACUCCCUUGUCUGUCUCUAUGGGUACUAAUUUUAGCGAUGAUUCUUAUAUUUAUUUUUUUGUUCCCCAGUACCAGCGGACCACAAAGGGAAAGUGAAAUGUCUAUUUGCUGUGCAAACAUACCUCUGAUAAUAAGUAACUGGAAAAAUAGGCACAGCAAUCCAUCUUCUGUCAGUUAAACAUAGCUAUUCUUAGCUGUUGUGCAUCAUUAUGAAGAAAAUGAAACUUGUAGAGCAAUUCAUACUGCUUUUAAAAGCAAGUCUUCUAAUCCAUUCUUUUGAUUAUAUUGAAAUUAUACUUAACAUUGUCAUAUUCAUAUUAAUCAUUUAAAAAUGUGAAUGUAAUGAGACGUGGAUUAAUGUCUUUAUUAUGUGGUGAAAUUAGGAGUUGACACUAAUGUGGAACUCACAUCUUUGAUCCCUUUCUUCUCACAGAGUAGAAUCUUGAUUUUUCCAUGCAAAUCAGAGAUCAUGGUCUUGUUAUAGACCAUAGUCUUAUGCAGGCCAAAUUUUCAUUGAUUUCUGUGGCACAAUUGGUAGGAAUGGCAGAAUGGAAUCAUCAGAACGUCUUACUGUUUGAGUUGCCAUAGCCAUCUCCUUCAAUGGCUAGCUCUUGGUGAGUGGGGAAAGCAGGCCCGUACUGGGUGAACUUACUGACUGGUAGAUGUACGGAGUAGUAGAUAUCUAUCCUGUAAAUGACCACUGUUGUGAAACUCAGCACUGCCAGAUAUGGGGAACAGCCUGUCAAUUCACUGGUUCUGUUUUUGUUUGUGUUUUUAAAUUGUUUAAUUUAGACCUCACCCAAGUUACAAGAAUUUCACUGACUAUGUUAUGGUCAAUGUUAUAGUAUGGAUCUUCAUCCUACACAGGUAAAACUGGCUGGAAACCUGAAGAGUUUACUAGAACAUCAAAGCUUUGAGGCACAUAUGAUUAAUAAAGUAAAUAUUUUGUCUUAAUAAAAAUUUUACUAAUUUAA